rnacentral:tRNA from 1 species
GGGUCUAUAGCUCAGUCGGUUAGAGCGCAUCGCUGAUAACGAUGAGGUCGCAGGUUCGAUUCCUGCUAGACCCACCA